rnacentral:rRNA from 1 species
AGCAACGCCGCGUGAGUGAUGAAGGUUUUCGGAUCGUAAAGCUCUGUUGUUAGGGAAGAACAAGUGCCGUUCGAAUAGGGCGGCACCUUGACGGUACCUAACCAGAAAGCCACGGCUAACUACGUGCCAGCAGCCGCGGUAAUACGUAGGUGGCAAGCGUUGUCCGGAAUUAUUGGGCGUAAAGGGCUCGCAGGCGGUUUCUUAAGUCUGAUGUGAAAGCCCCCGGCUCAACCGGGGAGGGUCAUUGGAAACUGGGGAACUUGAGUGCAGAAGAGGAGAGUGGAAUUCCACGUGUAGCGGUGAAAUGCGUAGAGAUGUGGAGGAACACCAGUGGCGAAGGCGACUCUCUGGUCUGUAACUGACGCUGAGGAGCGAAAGCGUGGGGAGCGAACAGGAUUAGAUACCCUGGUAGUCCACGCCGUAAACGAUGAGUGCUAAGUGUUAGGGGGUUUCCGCCCCUUAGUGCUGCAGCUAACGCAUUAAGCACUCCGCCUGGGGAGUACGGUCGCAAGACUGAAACUCAAAGGAAUUGACGGGGGCCCGCACAAGCGGUGGAGCAUGUGGUUUAAUUCGAAGCAACGCGAAGAACCUUACCAGGUCUUGACAUCCUCUGACAAUCCUAGAGAUAGGACGUCCCCUUCGGGGGCAGAGUGACAGGUGGUGCAUGGUUGUCGUCAGCUCGUGUCGUGAGAUGUUGGGUUAAGUCCCGCAACGAGCGCAACCCUUGAUCUUAGUUGCCAGCAUUCAGUUGGGCACUCUAAGGUGACUGCCGGUGACAAACCGGAGGAAGGUGGGG